rnacentral:rRNA from 1 species
ACCCCCUGAACUUAAGCAUAUCACUAAGGGGAGGAAAAGAAACUAACAAGGAUUGCCCUAGUAUCGGCGAGAGAAGCGGCAAAAGCCCAAAUUGGUAAUCUCCGGGACUAAUCUCGGCGAAUUGUAAUCUAAAGCCUUGUUCUAAACAAGUUCCUUCGGAUAAUUUAUCUGAAAAGAUGAGCCAUAGAGAGUGAAAGCCUCGUCUAUGCUGAAGGAAUUUACAACAGAACUGUGGCGAAGAGUCGGGUUGUUUUGAAUUGCAGCCCUAAUUGGGAGAUAAACUUCUUCUAAGGCUAAAUAUUAGUAGGAGACCGAUAGCGAACAAGUACUGUGAAGGAAAGAUGAAAAGAACUUUGAAAAGAGAGUUAAAAGACCUGAAAUCGUUCAGAAGGAAGCGGUAGAAGUUUAUUAUUGCCUCCUGAUCUAAAGCGUCGUCUAACUAUUGCUGAACGACGAAUUCGCAAGAUUUGUCCUAAGGCAUCUGGGGAAACGGCGUCUCUGGUCUAGGGUAUUAGGCAGAAUGAAGUGUAGUAAUCGUAUAAAUCUGUAGGUCUGCGGUUUCGGCCCAGACUUAUAGUGUGACGAAUAUUAUGCUUGAGGGGCUUCGGCGAUUCUGUCAAAAUGGCUUUUACCGACCCGUCUUGAAACACGGACCAAGGAGUCUAACAUAUAUGCAAGUGUGGUGGUGUUAAACCAACACGCGUAAUGAAAGUGAGUGAUGCGAACCGCAAGGGGCUGCAUCGGCCGACCAUGAUUCUUUGAAGAAAGGUUUGAGUAUGAGCAUAUCUGUUAGGACCCGAAAGAUGGUGAACUAUGCCUGAGUAGGGUGAAGUCAGGGGAAACUCUGAUGGAGGCUCGUAGCGAUACUGACGUGCAAAUCGUUCGUCGAACUUGGGUAUAGGGGCGAAAGACUAAUCGAACUAUCUAGUAGCUGGUUCCCUCCGAAGUUUCCCUCAGGAUAGCAAAGACAAAAUAGUAGUUUUAUCAGGUAAAGCUAAUGAUUAGAGGCAUCUGGGAUGCAUCGUUCUAGACCUAUUCUCAAACUUUAAAUUGGUAAGAACAGAGGGGUGCUUAAGUGACCACCUCUGGUUGAAUACUUGUCUUUAGUGGGCCAUUUUUGGUAAGCAGAACUGGCGAUGAGGGAUGCACCUAGCGCUCAGUUAAGGUGCCUAACUACACGCUCAUCAGAUACCACAAAAGGUGUUGAUUCAUUUAGACAGCAGGACGGUGGCCAUGGGAGUCGGAAUCCGCCAAGGAGUGUGUAACAACUCACCUGCCGAAUGGAUUAGCCCUGAAAAUUGAUGGCGCUCAAGCGUGUGACCGAUACUGGGCUAUUGCAAUGAGAUUGUGAUUGCAAUAAGUAGGGGGGCGUGGGCAUUGUGACGAAGCCUUUAGCGUGAGCUUGGGUUGAACAGUGUCUAGUGCAGAUCUUGGUGGUAGUAGCAAUUAUUCAAAUGAGAACUUUGAGGGCCGAAGUGGAGAAGGUUUCCAUGAGAACAGCAAUUGGUCAUGGGUGACUCGAUCCUAAGACAUUGGGGAAUUCCUUGUAAGUGGGCUUCGGCUCGCGGUCAAAAGGGAAUGAGGUUGAUAUUCCUCAAGCUGGAUAUGGAUAUUGUGGCAACACAAAUGAGCUCAGAAACACCAGCCCGAGACUCUGGAAGAGUUAUCUUUUCUUUUUAACAAGUUAGCAUCCUUGAAAUUGGAUUAACCAGAGAUAAGGUUGCAAGCUUGGCAAAGCAUCGAGCUUUUUCGAUGUCAGGUGAUCUCGAGAUGGUCCAUGAAAAUCUGAGUGAGAGUUCUAUUCCUUACCAGGUCGUACCAAUAACCGCAUCAGGUCUCCAAGGUU